UACGUAGGGUGCAAGCGUUAUCCGGAAUUAUUGGGCGUAAAGAGCUCGUAGGCGGUUUGUCGCGUCUGCUGUGAAAACCCGAGGCUCAACCUCGGGCCUGCAGUGGGUACGGGCAGACUAGAGUGCGGUAGGGGAGAAUGGAAUUCCUGGUGUAGCGGUGGAAUGCGCAGAUAUCAGGAGGAACACCGAUGGCGAAGGCAGUUCUCUGGGCCGUAACUGACGCUGAGGAGCGAAAGCGUGGGGGAGCGAACAGG
rnacentral:rRNA from 1 species